rnacentral:rRNA from 1 species
UACGGGGGGAGCAAGCGUUGUUCGGAUUUACUGGGCGUAAAGGGCGCGUAGGCGGCCACCGCAAGUCAAUUGUGAAAUCUCCGGGCUUAACUCGGAAAGGUCAACUGAUACUGCGGGGCUAGAGUGCAGAAGGGGCAACUGGAAUUCUCGGUGUAGCGGUGAAAUGCGCAGAUAUCAGGAGGAACACCAAUGGCGAAGGCAGCUCGCUGGGACGUGACUGACGCUGAGACGCGAAAGCGUGGGGAGCAAACAGG